rnacentral:rRNA from 1 species
UACAGAGGUCUCAAGCGUUGUUCGGGUUCAUUGGGCGUAAAGGGUGCGUAGGCGGCGCGGUAAGUCGGGUGUGAAAUCUCGGAGCUUAACUCCGAAACUGCAUUCGAUACUGCCGUGCUUUGAGGACUGGAGAGGAGACUGGAAUUUACGGUGUAGCGGUGAAAUGCGUAGAUAUCGUAAGGAAGACCAGUGGCGAAGGCGGCAUCCUGGACCGACAUUGACGUGAGGAGC